ensembl:lncRNA
AUGGGUUUCUUUUUCCAAUGGUUUGGCAGGCCAGGCUGGAUGGUUGUGCAGAGGGACAGAGAGGGGGUCUGUGAUGGGGUGAAAACUUGCAGCAGCCUUUGGGACAAUUACAAGAGAAACAGCCGACGGCUCCUGUGUUUCAUAUCCCCCCUCCGAACUCCUGCGAGUCUGUGUCUGUUGGCCUGCAGUGAAUGCCUGCUUUGUGUUCUCACACCUCAUGUAAUGAACUGAGGUUUUGUGUUACUGCAUCAAGUUUUCACACAUGGGUCAAAAAUGACCAACAAUUACCUCCUCUACAGAAGCACCAAAAGAAACCAAGCUACUAGCAGCCGACAAGGGGCAUUGAUCCUCACGUGUGAAACACACUGGCGAACUGAGGCGCUGCGUGGGGAAGUGAGAUAAACUGUAUCAUCCUCUGUACUGGUGGUGCUUGUCUAACCUGAAGUCUGCUCCCCCUCUGCUGCUGUCUGCUGACUGAUCACACUCUCUUUCAAAGUGAAGGGAUUUAUGGGUAAAAGAUGCUCAUCAGAACUUCAUGUAUAACACUGAAUACUAUCAAUGAGCUAAGCGCUGUUUUGUGGACAUGUUUGUACAUCGAUUGUCUUUGCUCUCUCUAGAUCUUAGAACCUGUCUAAAGUUGUUAAUUGAUCGACAGAUAAUGAACAGGACCUCUCUUAUCUUCCGGUACUAUAAUCCUCUAUCACGCAUUGUUUCCUCUUAGGAACAAACUCAUUUUCUUUGCUAACAAAUGAUGCAUAUAUGGUGGCAAUAAAAUGGUAA